UCCGUAGCCGGUUUGGUCAGUCUUCCGGGAAAUCUGUCAGCUCAACUGAUAGGCUAUCGGGGGAUACUGCUAGACUUGGAACCGGGAGAGGUAAGAGGUGCUACAGGGGUAGGAGUGAAAUCUUGUAAUCCCUGUGGGACCACCUGUGGCGAAGGCGUCUUACCAGAACGGGUUCGACGGUGAGGGACGAAAGCUGGGGGCACGAACAGGAUUAGAUACCCUGGUAGUCC
rnacentral:rRNA from 1 species